ensembl:lncRNA
UUGUUAUUUCCUGUCACGUAACAAAACUGUUUAUUAUUUCAUGUUUGCAGGUAGACUGAAAUUGAUGUCUGACUUCUCAAAGAGUCCAAGCAAAACAUACAAGUGUGCUAAUGUGAUUUUCUGCUGGAGAACACACUCAGACAUUUCUCUUCUAUAUAUGGAUCAGCAAUUCUAUUAUUAAAGCAUUUGUUUCCCUUUCUUUUUAGUAUUUCAAAUAUUCAUUUCAUUUAGUAUCAGUGAUAACUUGGCCUCAUUCCUGGGCUGGCUAAGCUACAACAUCUGUACAGUCUCAAAGCCUUCAGUGUGGUGAGUGCUGAAUAGCUGAAUGAGCUAUUUAGGGCACACAACUGAAUUCAGAAAAUGAACCCAAAAAUGAAAACGAGAUUUCUGCUUUUGUGGUGCCCUUAACCAGCUCACCGAGGAGGCCAAGAAACAGAAGAGCAAACAGAAGGUGAUGACAUAACACUAGUGAAGUGAAACCAUCCAGUAAAUGUAUAUUCUACCUUAUUUAAAAAAUAUCAGCUAUUUAAAUAAUGAAGUAUUCCUAGAUUUAAUAUACUUUUUACUUUUUUCCUUUAUAUUAGGGAUGCUUUAUACAAUCCCUGUGUGAGGAUGAAAACGAGAAAGAGGUAUGUUUGAGAUGAGAGCAUACACUGAUGCACUAUUCAUGUCACUAAAGCAAAAGUUUCCAAAUAGUUAAAAAGAAAAAAAAAAUUAAAGCCGGUUGUAUAGGACAUAUUUCUGCAUGUUAGCCCCAAGGAACACUGACUAUGCUAUUGUGAGGCAUUUAAAUUCUGAGGGAUAACUUUUGGCAAGAAUUGAUCAUUAAGCUCUUGUGAAAUUAAAUACAUCUGCAUCUAAGUGAAGAAGAGAAGUCAAUAUUGGACAAAUAGAGACUUGUUAGAAACAUAAAAUAGCAUUAAUUUAGAAUUAUAUCACACUGCUGAAAGUCAAAACAAUUAAUAUGAUUCACCAGUUUCAGUAAGAGUAACUAUCAUUUCACUAUAUUUUUAAGAGUCAAAGAACAAUAAUUCUAUAUAUCCAUUUCUUAAACGUAGAUUAUGAAAGAAAUAUAGUUAAUAACAUUUUUGUGACAUUUUCAAUGCAUUUUUCAUGUAAUGAUUAUAAUUUCAUUGGGAAUGUUUUAAUAGAUUACAUGGAACAUAUCAAUGAAUUUGAAAUCAUCUUAGAUAAAUGUAAAAUAACAGCAUGUAUGAUAAUUUUUCUAUAUCUCAAUCAUGAAAACAUUCAGAUAAGAAAAAAAUAAUAUCUAACUGAAGUAAUUCAACCAUAUUUCAUGCUCCUUAUGUUUUUAUUUCAAAUAUAAUUCUUUUUGCUCCUCUGGGGAAGAAAAAAAGUGUAAUUUGCUUUUAAUUCUGUAAAACGUGAUAACAACAAUAUCUUCAAGCCUUAAAAAGAUUUAUCAGGCUGGAGAAAAAUAUCUCAGAGCAUUAAACUGAAAGAACUUUUAAAAGAUAGUCCUGUAGUACAAAGUUAAUUCAAGUUAAGUAGGAAAAGUGUACUUGGCAUUACAUUCUGCUUUGAUAAAACUUUUCCUUUAAUUAAUUCAUCAGUCAUUCCAUUAAGGAAAACAAUUUGCUUGAUACUGAAGAAAAAUACAAACACUGUUAGGGAGUAUUUAUGUACCAUAGAACCUUAAGCCUUUUGAGAAUAAAAAUCAAUUUUUAUUAGAGCAUUCUUUUGAUGUCUCAGUGCAAGAAGAAAGAGCUCAGGAAACCUUUUUGUUGAGCUCUGAAUUCAGCCCAGUGGCAGUUUUUGUAUGGUCUGGGUCAAACAAACAAACAAAGAAAACCCACUGGAGGGUCAUAAAAAGUACUAAAGAUAACAUCCUGCAGCAACGGCACUGUCAGAGGGGCACUGAAAUCAUUUCAGUACGGAGAGACAAAGGGAGAGGCAUAGAGCAGUGGAGUGAUCACAGCAAACUGCAAUUGCUGAGGAAGUGCAAAUGUUCAGACGUUUAGCUGCUUUGUAGGAUCCUUCACUGCUUGCGAAGACCUGUUUUUGACCAACCCGUUUCAGACACUGUUUAGAAGUGCGACUGACUUAAAGUCAAUACUAACCUAGACUUCAUUGUCUCUGCAUUGUCUGCAUUUCAGUUGAGAUUCUAAGUUAGCCUGUGUCAAACUGAAGAUCAUGAAAUCCUGGUAUCAAAUUAUUAUUUGCUGUUGACAAAAAUAGUUUUUUUUUUUUUUUUCCACGAUUACCACUGUUUUGUUGGUGUCUUUUGUUUUGUUUUGUUCUGUUUUGUUUUACCUAAGGGUCUUUUGAUGCAGCUUAGGUGCCCCUUGAUGGCAGCUUUUGUGAGAAGCUGGAAACCUAGUUUCUACUAUCUUUUCACGUAAAUGCCAUCCCUACAGAUAACCGCUUCUGUUUGUUAAUGUACCAUGUUAGAGGUGAAAGGAAAUUUUCUUAACAUUCACAGCUAAGUAUUCAUGUUAGUGUUCCUCACAGAUACGUAAUCCUGUGCAACAUGUAUUAUUUUCUGUCACUGAUCAUGAGCUACUUUUGGUAAUUCAUGGUAGGAACAUACAAGGAGAGGAAGAAUGUGCUUGUAUCCAAAGAUUUUUGCCAUGUUUUUAAGUGGUGGCUAAGGAAACCAAAUCAAUAUAUUUAGAGUCACUAUAUGUGAAAUUCAUUUAUCUGUCAUCUGAAAUUUGGGAAGAAAACUCUCUAACCCCAAUGUGGUGUUAGAAAGUGACAUUCCUUUAUUCCUUAUGACAUGUACCAGGUGAUUUGACAAAUCAAGCACAUGCUCUCAGAGUUCAAGUUCUACAUUUAAACAGUUAGGGCAUACAUGCUCAAUACAUUUGCAUGCAUACUAAUUUUUUUCCAAGAACUCAUUAAUGAGCUAAUGUCCCUCUGGGCAUGCAUGGUAGGAGCCUCUGGUGGUCUUAGACCACCCACCUUUUACCUAUUUUUCCAUCAUCAGCUUCAUCACAGUGACUUUUGGCUGACCUGUAGCUGUUUUUCCCCAGUUUGGCAAAUUUCCAUUGCUUGUUAUGCCAUAAUGAGAAAAUUUCUAUUUUGGUGCACUAUAAUCCAAAAUGAUAUACAUGAAAUCCAAGAAAAAGUCCUUCCACCUGAUGGAGGCAAAUAUAAAAGUAGUCUGUUGUGACAUCAGUGCUACUGUGAAGCUAGAUCACUGAGAAAAACAAGGCUAUUCAGACACUGAAUCAAUUCAAAGUGCUUCCAAGAUUCUGAGCUGUUUCGAUAUACAGAGGAAACCCUGAUCAUAACUGCAUCCACCUUGGUGUCACUGUCUGAAAAACAGCCCCAUGCCAGCCAUUGUUCUGCAUUCAUUCACUUGUAUCCAUAAACUUUCAGAAAGCUGAAAUAACAAAAUCCUCGUUAUAACCAUGAAUUGAGUGUCACUAUGAUUUUAAGUCCUAAACUGAGACUAACAAAAUUUCCUGACCAUUCCAUGUUCCAGAUAUGUCACUGAUUGCUUCUGCACAGCACCAGUGCGGCCUCACCCUGGACACUGGGUACAGUUUUGGGUGCCACAAUAUAUGAAAGAUAUAAAACUAUUAGCAUCCAAACUAGGGCAACAAAAGGUGAAGAAGGGUCUGGAGGACAAGAUGUGUGAGGAGUGGCUGAGAUCCCGUGGUUUGUUCAGCCCAGAGCAGAGGAGGCUGAGGGGAAGCAUCAUGGUGGCCUACAGCUCUGGAAGCCUCAUGGUGGCCUACAGCUCCUCACAGGGAGCAAUGGGGACAGCACUGAGCUCUGCUCUCCAGGCCCAAAGGAAGAGCAUGGAGCUGCAGGGGAUAUAGAGGUCUAUAUGAAAUGUUCCAUUUUCAUUUCUGUUAGAAAUUUCUGUUGAAACAAAACACUGCACAUUUGUUUGUCUAAAAAUAACUUCUCAGAGAAAAAUCGGUUGUGAUGUGGCAAGCAUGGUUAAAGCAAAUGACAAAAUACAGUGCAUAUGUUCACCUUUCCUCAUUAAA